ensembl:misc_RNA Y_RNA Y RNA
GGCUUGUCUGAGUGUGGUGGUGUUUAUAACUAAUUGAUCACGAACAAUUACAGAUUUAUUUGUUCCUUCUCCAUCUCACUGCUUCACUUGUCUAGCGAAUG